ACCGCUCACAUCUGGUUUUGAGUCAAGGCCAGGUUGGUUUCUUCAGGAAUGGGGGGCUUUUAUUUCUCAAUGGCCCCACACUCCUCUAGUUUCAUCCUCCGGUAUGCAUAAGAAAAUCCACUAUGUUUACAAGCUGGUGCUCCCGUCUUUAUGUUGAUUCUACUCGGUCCACAUUUUCAUUAGUGGAGAACCCAGCAGUCAUCUCCAAUUAAUAGCAGGAAUGUUGGCUGGCUGAUGGCUGUGAAGCCUUUCUGUGUCAGUUCGAGGUGACUUUGUGUUUCCACAAACUGUGAAUGUCAUAGAAAACUUUUAUUCCAAUUAUAUUUUCAUAUUUAAAAAAAGCAAUCUGGAGGAUUUCAGAAAACCACACAACUUCAGAUAUACACGAGGAAACAGACGGUAUCCUGUUUUGUAUUUUUCCAGCAUAUGUUUAUACUUGGAUGCACAUGCAGACAUCAGAUCGAGUUUCCAUAUAGAAUACCCAGAGGAGAGAGGAACAAAAAGAAAAUCAUGUUAGCCUCGUGUUUUUUAAGACUCAGUUUUCAAAAGCAGUUGUGCAUCAUAUGGUUUAAAGAAUUGACUAAAAGAAGUGUGUGCACUUAUAUUUAGGGGGUGAGCUAGAGGGAGUGAUGUGAGAACAAAGAUGUGCACUGUUUUCCAGUGGGAGGAUGGGUGGUAGGCAGGCUGCAAGAGAGAGAGAGAGGGGCUGCUGGGGGAUGUCUGAUGUCACCUGGUAGGGAGCUAUGAAAGCAUCCCCUGGUUACCCUAUCCCACAUAAAAGUCUGGCAGUAGGCUGAGGCUUUAGGGAAGCUUGGCAGAACUGCUGCAUUAAACAGGAACAAACAUCACACACCUUUCUUUCUGUCUCUUAUGUCAAGGUGUCUGGGAGACAGAAUCUGUUUACAUGGAACACUGUCGCUGCUUUUUUCCAAUGCAUUUUUUAAAGAAAACUGCUAUCUGAUACCUUAUCAUUUCCCUGUCAUUCCUGUUGAAGUGCCUGUUCUGCACAUGCAGUGUUGGCUUUUUUAGUAGUUUUUUUCCUCCAUACCCAAUGCGACACACUUCAAGGAUUUCAGGUGUACACCACUGGUAGAAAAAUGAGGAACACUUUGCUCCAAAAUGCUAACAGAUUUCCGCAGGCCGCAGAGCAGUUUGUGAUCUGAUAGUGAAAGAAUGAGAGCUGCUAGAUGCCAGAAAGCAGUUAAUUACACAUGUGGUGGGCAGAUUUGAGCCCGACACUGUGGGCGAUGUGGAUAGAGAUGCCAUGUGUUUGGACGUUAAACUGCAGACUGCGGUCGGCCCCAGCCUGCUCUCUCAUUAGCUCCCCCCAUAGAUGUAAUGAGCAUGGUGGUGGUGGUAGUCGGGGGAGCCAUGUGCUCAACACAAGCCCCGCUGGUUCGCUCAUUUUGCACUCAGCGAGAUGCGUCCCGAUAUGUGAUUUUUAAUUAAAGACCAGCUGGUUGAUUAAUUUCGUUUCAUUGGAUUUAAGGCAGAAUCUUUCAUUUGGAGGUGCUCGUACCUUGCUUCACACCCUCAUGGGGAUGAGGAUGGGAGGAAUCGGUGGUUGUCUUUGAUGUUCCCCUGAGCUGCAGAGCAGUGUCUCUGUGUGAACUCCCUCUUCCUUACAUACUGGCCUUCAUUAUGGGACUGAGCACAGAGAGGAGAGAUAAAAGCAUCCAGUGCAGAGAGGAAACAACAACUUGGCUGCAGAAACCACAAAAGAUGGAAACUGUUUUGUUUUUUGUUUUUGUCUAUGGAUACAUAUACGCUUUGUUUCCAGUGUGUGCUUUUGAUGAUUAAAGAGUCCUUCUUGUUUGGUGCCCAGGGAUUGGUAUCAGUUGUCUCCACCUCUCAAAGAAGCCUUCCAGAGCCUCUAAAAACCCACCUCCGUCCCUCCCCCAGAGCUCCCAGAGACUGGAGUAAGCAACAGAUAGGCACUAUCUCCCAAACUGCUUCCUCCUUUACCUCGACGCUUAUCUGCUUUCUCGCUUCUCAUAUCUUUGUCUCUCUUAUCUUCACCUUCCUCCUCUCUUCUCCUUUGCACCCGCUUUCCUCUUUCUUUCUUUCUCCUCACCUCCUGGCCCUUUCCUGCCUCCCUUUCCUCCCCCUCCCCGAGGCUCGACUCCUAUUCUUUUUGCUGUUUUUUCUCAGUGUCUCCUGUGGCCAAUUUGCAAGGGGUAUCCAAGCCUUGACCCUGAGACUCAAUGGGCUCCCCCUUUAGCGGUGAAGGUCAGGACCAGAUUACAGGCUGGUGGUAUCAUGCUCUGAAGUGAGGAAUAAUCAUAGGCUUUGGGAUUGUUAAAUAGAACCACAGGCCCUGGCGCGGUGAUUACUCUCAGAAAGAGGGGAAGGGGAAGGGAGAGGAAAGGGUGGGGGGGCUCGUUCACCUAAACGCAUGCAGAUGUUCAGACUCCCGCUCGAGCCUCAGUUCAGCUGAAGAGUUGUGCAUUUAAUCAGUCCCAUCCUAUCUGCACGGAAAUUUCCAUCUGAGCUGCCAUCAAAUGCUUCUCGGUGGGUGUCGCGUCAAGCAGGAUGAGAAUAAACAGGUUGGCUGAGAGAGAGCGAGCUCAGAUGAUGAAGUGCAUCAUGGUGGGGUUUUUUUGUCUUUUUUUGAUGGAUGUGAGGGAUCUGUUUGAAGGGCUUGGAGGAAUCUUGAAAGCUUGGCUGUGGCUGGGCCUGCUGUGUCCCAGACAGUGAAACACAAUAAGCGUGCAGAUGUUCAAAGUGUUUGGCCGCGCUGGAGCCUCCAGCCCUCUCCCGUUCAUCUGAGUAGGAAAUGCUUUAGCUGGAACUGUUUGUUUUCUCUGUGUCUGUGGUCUGAACUGUAGAUUCACUUACAUCUCUCUCUCCCUCCUCCUCUUCCUCCUCCUCCUCUCUCUGUUUCUCUCCGUCUCUCUUUUCUAAUUUGUUUCCU